UCGCUUGUUUGUUUUUCUUGGUGCGCUUAAAUGCAAACAAAACAUGAAAUUUUAUUUACCAUUUAACCAGCACGGAUCAGCACAUAUAUUUCUAUGGUAAGUGCCAACGGAUGCUGGAGAUAUUGCCAGGAUUGAUGGGUUCAUCAAAGGAAUUUCGUUUUCAUAGAUAAUCAUAAAUUCUAAAAAAAAAAUCAGAAAGUUCGCCAUCUACAAAAACACUGAAGAGGUAUCUAAAUGUCGCUGUGGCAAAGUCGACAUUUUCAUAGAUUUAUUUUGCGUAUCUUUGGCGCCAGCUAUCUGACCACAUAGUCCACAACAACAACAACAACAAUAAAAUAAUAAUAACAAAAACAACAACAACGACAGCGGCAAGGCACCAUUAAAAACAUAAUUUAUCAACAAUUUACAUGCCAAGUCCAAGGCGUUUGUUAAGUGUUAUUAAAAAAUUACAAGCCUCGUCGUCGUCAACGCAGACUUUGUAUGUAAGAUACAUAGAUACCGUGUUGUGAUGGUAUCAUUAUGCAGUCUUAUGAAUAUGCAAGCAGCAUAGUACGAGUAGAGGAAACCAAUCACUAACUAAUACCAGUCCUGAGUAUCCAGAGCAGCAAUUACAUAUGUAUAUAUAUGGGUGCCAUUGCACAAGCCGAAGAAUUUCACAAUUACAGAUCUUCCAUCUGAGAAGACCCAGCAAUUAUCGAUGGGCAAUUUGUGUCCGAAUGCGAACAACAAUCAAAUCGUACAUCUCAAUACGAUCGGUAGUUUUUUUUGGACCUCUUCUUUUGUUCCAGAGAUCCGGAUUAAAUAAACAAAGAACCGAUUGCAUGGAAAAUUUGGUGGAUGGCGAUAAAAGUUUAAGAGAAGUUUUACUUAUCACUUCAAAGGAACGGAAAAAUUGUCGAAACUAAGCAA